AUUGAAUUAGUGUAUAAUUAUUGUUAAUUAUUGUUUCAAUUCUGCUCUGUUUUCCGCAGAUCCCAAAAUUGAAAGGACUAUGACCUGAAUAAUUCAUAUUUCUAGUAAAUAGUAGAUAUUAAUAUCUACAAUUUAGUCAAAUUAAAAUUAAAAUUUAGAUAUUAAUCUCUUGCUGUCUUUUUUGCGAAGCCUCUUUUCCCCUCACUUAAGACUGUCCUACAACAAUAUGCAUUUAUUAUUUUUUGAUCAAAAGUAUUUGCUAUAUGUAAUAUUUGUUAAAACUUUUUGUCAAAUGAAAUAAUUGUCAUCCUGAUGAACUGCUGGUAUUAGCAGUGAGUAAUAGGUUAAGCACAAGGAAAGUCAGGCCACUUCAAACUCAGUGGUAGUAACCAGGAUCUAUUGCACUAUUUCAAAAAUAUUACAGUAAAGGUCAAGGAAUAGGGUUAAGAGUGCUGCAUCUGCUGAUCAUGUCGAUAAUCAAAGUCUAACACUUCAAUGGAAGCAAGCAUGUUGUCCUUCCUAUUAAGGUUGCUUCACCUUAUGGAGCAAAUUGUCCUAGGCAAUUUACAUUAUGAAGAAUUCUAAAUGUUGGAAACUCAAAGCUAUUUUUCAAAUCUAUAGAAUCAAGGUAAAUGUGAGCCUGUGUUGAGCAUGCUUGUAUGGGAUUUCCUUCAACAUUUUGACAAAAUAUAGCCCACCUGUGACAGCAGAGAGGGAAAAACACAUAAAUAUAUAUUACUUUGGUUUUAUUUGUUAUUACAAAUUUCAAUUUAUUUUAGACCAACACAUUUGGGUGCCUUA